CCUACGGGUGGCAGCAGUGGGGAAUAUUGGACAAUGGGCGAAAGCCUGAUCCAGCCAUGCCGCGUGUGUGAAGAAGACCUUCGGGUUGUAAAGCACUUUCAGUGGGGAAGAAAGCCUUGGGGCUAAUACCCUCGAGGAAGGACAUCACCCACAGAAGAAGCACCGGCUAACUCCGUGCCAGCAGCCGCGGUAAUACGGAGGGUGCGAGCGUUAAUCGGAAUUACUGGGCGUAAAGCGCGCGUAGGCGGUCUGAUAAGCCGGUUGUGAAAGCCCCGGGCUCAACCUGGGAACGGCAUCCGGAACUGUCAGGCUAGAGUGCAGGAGAGGAAGGUAGAAUUCCCGGUGUAGCGGUGAAAUGCGUAGAGAUCGGGAGGAAUACCAGUGGCGAAGGCGGCCUUCUGGACUGACACUGACGCUGAGGUGCGAAAGCGUGGGUAGCAAACAGGAUUAGAUACCCGAGUAGUC
rnacentral:rRNA from 1 species